GCCGCCCCCUCCCAACGCUGAUGCUGCUGCUACUACUACGAGGGGCGCUCCGCCGCUGCAGGCCCCAACUGCCUCUGAAUCGCUGCCAAGGAGCAGGAAAGGGGCCCAGCGCGGGGAGAUCAAGAGCGUCGAGUUAAGGCUCACUUGUCGAUGGAUGUCCAGAAUCAGCAGCAUCCACCACGGUCCUUUUUAUCCUGGGUGACGACCGAGCCAGUAUAGACUUCGUUUUGGUUUGAUUCUCCAUAAUGCUAAUGGGUUAGGUAACGCUCUUGGUUCCAUUCCUCAGCUGAGGCCUCUCUGGCUUGGUUGGACCUGCCGGUAGUUACACUACCACCAACACAGCUCUCAGCGUCCUCGGAAUGGUUAAGCCCCCCCACCACGUCAAGUUGGCACCUGCGGGGUGGUGGUGCCGUGACUCAGAAACCAUUGAUCAUAUCCUCAGAUGCUGUAAGAAAAUUGCACAGACAGACUACAAACAGAGGCACAACUAUGUGGCCCAAAUGAUUCAUUGGAACUUAUGGCUCAAGUACCACCUCCCAGCAGCAAAGAACUGGCGGGAUCAGAAACCUGCAAAAGUAUUGGAAAAUGAGCACGCAAAGAUACUGUGGGACUUCCGAAUCCAGACUGACAAAGUUCUGGAACACAACACACCAGACCUCACAGUUGUGGAAAAGAAAAAGGUUUGGAUCAUUGAUGUCGCCAUCCCAGGUGACAGUCGCAUUGAUGAAAAACAACAGGAAAAACUCAGCUGCUAUGAGGACCUCAAGAUUGAACUUCAAAGACUGGCAGAAACCAGUGCAGGUGGUCCUGGUGGUGAUGGGCACACUGGGUGCCGUACCAAAAGAUCUCAGCCGGCAUUUGGAAACAAUGGACAUUGACAAAAUUACGAUCUGUCAUCUGCAAAAGGCCACCCUACUGGGAUCUGCGCGCAUCAUCCGAAAAUACAUCACACAGUCCUAGACACUUGGGAAGUGUUCGACUUGUGAUUUUGUGAAACGAAAUCCAGCAUAUCUAUUUUGUUUGCUGUGUCAUACAAUAAAAUAAUAAUAAUAAUAAUAAUAAUACAUCUUUAUUUAUAUGCCUCUUUCCUCCCACAGUGGGGACCCAAAGCAGCUUCCAACAUGUUCAGAAUACAAUACAAAAUCAAACAACGGUCAAAUGGUAUAAAUACAAAACAUUGUAAGCAAAUCAAUAAAUGGGUUGCUGCGAGUUUUCCGGGCUGAGUAGCCAUGUUCCAGAAGCAUUCUUUCCUGAGGCUUCGCCCACAUCGAGAGAAUGCUUCUGGAACAUGGCCAUACAGCCUAGAAAACUCACAGCAACCCAUUUCUUGAUUCUGGCCAUGAAGGCCUUUGACAACACAAUCAAGAAAUGUCUGUCUCUAACAAAAAUGAUCCCAUCUUUAAAAAUAAAAAAAUACCUUCUUAAUUUAAACUCUAGAAUUCCAGCAUAAAUAGAUAGCUCCUUCAAUUUAUUUUUCUUACUCAUGUACAGUAGUAUUGGACAGAGACACGCCUGUGCAAGUGUAAUUAUAGUAGUCUCGCUUAUCCAACCUUCACUUAUCCAAUGUUCUGUAUUAUCCAACACAGUCCGCCUUUUAGUAGUCAGUGUUUUUGUAGUCAAUGUUUUCAGUACAUUGCGAUGUUUUGUUGAUAAAUUCUUAAAUACAGUAAUUACUACAUAA